AGAGAGAGACAUGCGCGCAUAUCAAUAAGCGGAGGAAAAGAAACUAACAAGGAUUCCCUUAGUAACGGCGAGUGAAGCGGGAAGAGCUCAAAUUUGAAAUCUUCAAGGUUUUACCUUGACGAAUUGUAGUUUAAAGAAGUGUUUUCUGCUGAAGUUUUGGUAAAAGUUCCUUUGGAAUAGGACAUCAUAGAGGGUGAGAAUCCCGUAUUUGACCAUUAUUUUCAGCUUUGUGAUACACUUUCAAAGAGUCGGAUUGUUUGGGAAUGCAGUCCAAAAUGGGUGGUAAAUUUCAUCUAAAGCUAAAUAUUGGCGAGAGACCGAUAGCGAACAAGUACCGUGAGGGAAAGAUGAAAAGAACUUUGAAAAGAGAGUUAAACAGUACGUGAAAUUGUCAAAAGGGAAGCGUUUGACACCAGUGUUGUUUUCUCGAAAAUCAAUUAAAAAUGGCUCGAUUUUGUAUUGUUGAGACCUUAAAAGCUCACUGUACAUUUUUCGUGUCUUUUUUAAUGCACUUUUCGUUUAACAAGUCAACAUCAGUUUCUUUUGUUGUAAAAGGGUCAUUGGAAGGUGGCUUUCUUUUCGGAGAAAGUGUUUAUAGCCUUUGGCCUCUGCAAUCGAAGAGACUGAGGUCUGCAGCGUAGACUCUUCGGGGUUAGAUACAUUUGUGCUAAGUUAUAGCUUUUUAUAGACAACUUGUUGACUAUAAUUAGUCUUGUAGCUUACUCGCUUAUGCUAUUUUACCUACGCUUAGGAUGUUGAGUCGUAGAGCACGCA
rnacentral:rRNA from 1 species